CCACAUUUCCUUUCUUCUUCUUUCUUAUUCUUCGUUCUUCUUCUCUCUUCUCUCUUCUUCUUCCCCGGCGAUUCAGAGAGGAAAUCUCUGGUGAGAAAACCUUAUAAAAAUUAGUGAAACCAAUCGCUUGAGUGUGUUGUUGAUGAGUUCAUAGUUUGGGUUUGUUUAGAAUCCUCGAUUGAGAUGAAGAGAAGUGUUCUGUGAUAAUUAGGGUUUGAGUUUGAUGUUGAGGUUAUUUGGAAAUAGAUAAGUUAACAGUUGAAGAUCAAAGGUUUAUUGCUAGAUUGAAGUUGUAGUGUUUUUUUGAAGAAGAAUCGAGGUAUUAGUGAUUCGGUGAAGAGUUAAGGUUUCACUAGAAUUGCAGAGAAGAUUCAAAAGAUGAAAUUGAUACUCUAGAAGACUAAUUGAAGAUGUAAUCAAGCAAUUAAGGAUGGGUUUGGUGAAUUUGAGAAGUUGAAUUGAUGUUUUGGGCUUGAAUUGAGAAUUAGGAAUUAAUCUAGGAUUUUCUGUGACUCGAUGAUGGUAAUGAAUAUUAUGGGUUUAAGAUCGAGAAAGGAAGAGUAGAAUCGAGUUUUUCUGCUGAUGAUGUUGAGGAUUAAUGAGUUAUCGAUGAACUGUGAUGAGCUGCUGAAUUUAGUCAAAGUAGAGAAGGAUUUGAGUUCAGUUUCUUGAGCAAGCUAUUCUAAGGUAAAUUGUGUUCCUUGCAACUUAGAAAGUUAUCUGAUUUCUUCAUUGAAUUUAUGUAAAUGUUUAAGAACUCGUGGGUUGAGAUGGGAAUGGUUAUGUGGCUGUAGCUUGGGUUUGAUAUGAAUUAUAUGUUGGAGUCUUGAAUAGAUGAUGGUUUGGAAUGCUGCUGAGUUUAUGAGUUUGUUAACUGAUCUAAGAAUUGUUAUAGAUGUAUGUGUAUGGAACAAGAAUUGCAAAAUGGGUAUUACAAGUCGUGAUGGUGAAUUUUGCAAAUAUAAUGGAACUGUGAUUGUGGAUAUGGAGAUGGUGUUGAAUUGUGAACAACAACUGCGGGGAAUGGUUGAAUUCUUGUGGUGGUAUGUGUGUGUGGUGUGAGAUGAGAUUGCAGGUGAUGAUAGUUUAGGAAUGAGUUCUGUGUUGUAUGAAAGUAGAAUUUGGAGUUGCUGCUGCUAUUAUUGUUUGUUAGAGUUUAGUUGUUGUUGAGGUUGAUGUGGAUAUGGUUUUGGAAGUGAACUGGUGGUGUUGUUUAUGAUAAAUGUUGGGUUUUGACUGAAAAGAAGGCUUCAUGAGGGAUGGGUGAAUUGGUUUCGUAGUUGGUGGUGUUGCUGCUGAGAGGAGAGGUUGUAACUGAAGUUGGUAUGGUUGUAUUAUUGAAGUUACAGAUGCAGUUCAAACUGUAUGCAGUGGUGCAAGUUCUGUUAUUUGGAUGAUGAGUGAACUGGUGUAAGAAGAAUGAGUUAAUAGAGUUGUAGAUAGUGUUCCAGUGAAAGCUUGGGACUGCUUUUGCAGGUAAGCUGAAUUGUGAUUAAGAAUGCACUUGUGAAGUUAUUUGUGUUCAAUGUAGUGUUGUAUUAAAUUGAUGUUGAAAUGUAAAAUUGGUAGAUGAAGGU